GGUCAGGUGGCUGAUUUAGGCGGUAGGCUGUAAACUUAUUAAUGGGAGGCUUACUCCCCCUGGUCG
rnacentral:tRNA from 1 species